UCACCUCUAGCAUUUCCAGUAUUAGAGGCACUGCCUGCCCAGUGACAUUAGUUAAACGGCCGCGGUAUCCUGACCGUGCAAAGGUAGCAUAAUCAUUUGUUCCUUAAAUAGGGACUUGUAUGAAUGGCCACACGAGGGCUUUACUGUCUCUUACUUCUGAUCCGUGAAA
rnacentral:rRNA from 1 species